UUUCUACACCUACCUGGAGGAGCUUGCUAUCUAACCGAUAACCCACGUAACACCUCACCAAUUUUUGAUUAUCAGCUUGUAUACCAUCGUCGUCAGUCUACCUUUCAAAAGAAGUAUACACAACGAACUCCUCCUAACGCCAGAUCAAGGUGCAGCUAAUAAAUUGGGGAUAAGUGAGCUACAAUAACUAAACAGAAAAUUUAAUUUUGAAAAAAUAACUGAAACACCAUUUAGAAACAGAAUUCAGCAGUAACGGCUAAAUAAACAGAAAAUAACCGUGAAAUAGCCUAGCUCUAGAAUACGC
rnacentral:rRNA from 1 species